AAAAAGUUUUAUUUUAGCUUGAAUAAUUAGUGUAUAAUUUAUUUACAUGUAAAUUUUUGUAAUAAUAUUCUAAAUUUUUUAUAAGCGUAGAAAUUAUUUUUUUACUUGCAGUAUAAAAUUUUAAAUAUUAAAGAAAUUUAGAUUUAGAUAUUUAUAAGAAUUUUAACAAAAUUUGUGCCAGCAGUUGCGGUUAUACAAAUAAUAUAAUUUAUUAUUUUUUAAUUUUAUAAUUAAAUUAGUAUAAAUAAGUUAAUUAAAAUUAUAAUUUAUUAAGUGAAAUUUUAAAUUAUAUAAAAGUUAAAUUUAAUUUUUUGAAGUUAUUAAAUUAAUAUAAAAACUAGGAUUAGAUACCCUAUUAUUAUAAAGUAAAAAAAAAUUAAAUUAUUAAAAGUUAAAAUCUUUAAAAUUAAAAAAUUUGGCGGUAUUUUAGUCUAUUCAGAGGAACCUGUCCUGUUAUUGAUAAUCCACGAUUAGUAUUACUUUAUUUAGAAAUUUGUAUAUCGUUGUAGUAAGAAUAUUUUUAAAGAAAAUAAAUUUUCUUAGUGUUUUAUUAAAGAAAAAAUCAAAUCAAGGUGCAGUUUAUAUUAAAGUAGGAGAUGGGUUACAUAAAAUAUAUUUUUGGAGUUUUGGUUUAAAAUUAUUAUGAAAUUGGAUUUGAAAGUAAAAAAAUUAUUUUAAUUUUUUGAUUUAAGCUCUAAAAUAUGUACAUAUCGCCCGUCGCUCUCAUUUUUAAGUUGGGAUAAGUCGUAACAAAGUAAAUGUACUGGAAAGUGUAUUUAGUUAGAU
rnacentral:ncRNA from 1 species